CCCAACUUUUAGAUUUACCUCUUUCCACUCUUCUCUCUGCUCUCCGCACUCUCUCCAUCUCCGCACAUAAGGCUUAGAGCUGUCACAAAUUUUGUACACAUUUUUCUUGACUUUAAAACGCAGAAGCAUAGAUGGGUACUUUCAUGGCUUUUACAAGAUCUCUUGGUCACCACUACAUUAAAAAGUCGAAAUCCCAUAACUUUUCUCAGUUGUUCGAUUUGAGCAAACUGAUAGGUCCUUCUGAGAUUUCCAAUCCUAAUUUCGAUGGCAGUUUUCAUCAAUUACAGAGCCGUAAAACGCUCAUCUUGGAGCCCGCUUCUUCUGAAUCAGUCAAGCUGCAAAGGCUUUCCGAUUCUGAUCCCGGAAUUGUUGAGGUGAAUUUGGAUAGGCCGGGAGCGAAAAAUGCCAUCGGGAAGGAAAUGCUGAGAGGAUUACGGGCAACUUUUGAAACAAUCAGUAGGGAUGACUCUGCUAAUGUUGUUAUGAUAUGCAGCUCGGUUCCCAAAGUGUUCUGUGCAGGAGCUGAUCUGAAGGAGCGUAAGACAAUGACUCCAUCUGAAGUGCAAUUUUUUGUCAACACACUGCGAUCCACAUUCUCACUUAUAGAGGAACUUUGUAUUCCUACAAUUGCUGUUAUUGAAGGAACAGCCUUGGGUGGUGGACUUGAAAUGGCUUUAUCAUGUGAUCUUCGGAUAUGUGAAGAGGAUGCAGUAUUGGGCUUGCCAGAAACAGGACUUGCUAUAAUUCCUGGGGCAGGUGGGACACAAAGACUUCCUAGAUUGGUAGGAAAAUCAGUGGCAAAGGAACUUAUAUUUACUGGUCGGAAGAUUGGUGGCAGGGAGGCCAUGUCAAUUGGUAUGUUUACUGGGAAGUUGUUUGGUGUCUAUAUAUUAAUCCAUAUUUAGUAAUGAAGGUGUGCAAUGCUGCAGGCCUUGUGAAUUACUCUGUACCUGCUGGUGACGCUCGUUUAAAGGCACUUGAAGUUGCUCGGGAAAUUAAUCAGAAGGUACAAUUAUAUAUUCCAUAAAGAUUUCUUAGUCAGCAAAUUAUGUAGCACAGAAGAUCAGUACAGCUGUGCAGAAACAUUUUAGUGACAACCAAAUCAUUAACACACUGCUGGGAACUUUUGGUGUCAUGAUUGGAUCUGUUGCCCAUAUCGUACGUAUAAUAUCCAUGGUUACAAUAAUAUGAUUGAUUUUACAUGGAAUAGUUCACUAAAUGCUGAGAAUUAGAGAUAAGUGAAAGUCUUUGAGUUGCUCUUCUAGCGUGUAAACUGCAUUCCUUCUCUAGUUCUAUUCCUUAUGCACCCCCCAUAAAUGAGAAGAAAAUGCACUUUUCUGCUUCCUGAUGUAUGCAAGUUUUCUAACCUUCUGGUCAUCAUUUUUGCUUAGGAAUUUCAGGCAUGUUGAAAUCCUAUGGAAUAGAAGGUCGUGUAUCCACAAUUAGGACCUUUAAUUCCAUAGCUUGAUGAUCCUUUAUUUUCUGGAUCCGCUAUAUUUGGUUCAAAGAAUUUUAUUUUCUUAUAAACUUACGAGACUAAAAUGAAUUUUACUGGGGUCGGAUGUGUACGGAACAUUUCCCGGUAAAACUGAACCGCAUUAUCUAAAGUGUAACACUGAAUGUUAUUUCAAUGUGAAACAAACAGCAAUUUUUGCUUUUAGUUUCUGCUCAUUCAAACCAACCUGUUUUCUUGACAGGGUCCUAUAGCAAUAAGACUGGCAAAAAAGGCUAUUAAUGAGGGGCUAGGGAUAGAUUUGGCAUCUGCUUUGGAAUUGGAAGAAGAGUGUUAUGAACAGCUGUUGAACACAAAAGAUCGCUUGGAAGGUUUGGCAGCAUUUGCUGAAAAGCGGAAACCAAGGUAUACUGGAGAGUAAACAGGACAAAAUGAUGCAAAGCAAUUUCUUGACAAAGUUGCAGAAAAGCAGAAGCCAAGGUACCAAUUGAAAUAAAACAAUUACAAUUUCAAACUAAAGAACUAAAAUUAUUGAUGCUUAUGAGCAAUGACAAUGUAUAUGUUAUUGUAUUGUAAUUCAUCUUUUAUAUCAUAAUAAAUUUGGUGGUGGUGGUUGGAAUCUUUUCAGUAGUUUAGUGAUAAAUCAGUUUUCAGACUCGCAGAAAAGAUCUUGUAAAACAGAAUGGCUG
rnacentral:misc_RNA from 1 species